UUGCCAGCAGCCGCGGUAAUACAGAGGGGGCAAGCGUUGUUCGGAAUUACUGGGCGUAAAGGGCGCGUAGGCGGCCGCCUAAGUCAGACGUGAAAUCCCUCGGCUCAACCGGGGAACUGCGUCUGAUACUGGGCGGCUUGAAUUCGGGAGAGGAAUGCGGAAUUCCAGGUGUAGCGGUGAAAUGCGUAGAUAUCUGGAGGAACACCGGUGGCGAAGGCGGCAUUCUGGACCGACAUUGACGCUGAGGCGCGAAAGCCAGGGGAGCAAACGGGAUUAGAUACCCUUGUAGUCC
rnacentral:rRNA from 1 species